AGAUCUUUCUAGCAUCUCCU
rnacentral:snRNA from 1 species